AACGAACGCUGGCGGCAGGCUUAACACAUGCAAGUCGAACGCACCUUUCGGGGUGAGUGGCAGUCGAGUGAUUAACGAGUGGGAAUUUACCCUUCACUACGGGAUCGCUCCGGGAGAGAGGAACUCUUACAGUAUCCGUCCUGAGUGAGAAAGAACUAUCGGGGAAGGAUGAGCUCGCGUCGUGUUAGCUUGUUGGUGGGGUGAUGGCUUCCCAAGGCGUCGAUGGGUAGCUGGCCUGAGAGGGUGAUGGGCCACACUGGGACUGAGACAAGGCCCAGACUCCUACGGGAGGCAGCAGUGGGGAAUAUUGCACAAUGGGCGAAAGCCUGAUGCAGCAACGCCGCGUGAGGGAAGACGGCAAUCGGGUUGUAAACCUCUUUUAGCAGGGAAGAAGCGAAAGUGACGGUACCUGCAGAAAAAGCGCCGGCUAACUACGUG
rnacentral:rRNA from 1 species